rnacentral:rRNA from 1 species
GAUGAACGCUGGCGGCGUGCCUAAUACAUGCAAGUCGAGCGAACAGACGAGGAGCUUGCUCCUCUGACGUUAGCGGCGGACGGGUGAGUAACACGUGGAUAACCUACCUCUAAGACUGGGAUAACUUCGGGAAACCGGAGCUAAUACCGGAUAAUAUAUUGAACCGCAUGGUUCAAUAGUGAAAGACGGUUUUGCUGUCACUUAUAGAUGGAUCCCCGCCGCAUUAGCUAGUUGGUAAGGUAACGGCUUACCAAGGCAACGAUGCGUAGCCGACCUGAGAGGGUGAUCGGCCACGCUGGAACUGAGGCACGGUCCAGACUCCUACGGGAGGCAGAAGUAGGGAAUCUUCCGCAAUGGGCGAAAGCCUGACGGAGCAACGCCGCGUGAGUGAUGAAGGUCUUCGGAUCGUAAAACUCUGUUAUUAGGGAAGAACAAAUGUGUAAGUAACUAUGCACGUCUUGACGGUACCUAAUCAGAAAGCCACGGCUAACUACGUG